GAUGAACGCUGGCGGCGUGCCUAAUACAUGCAAGUCGAGCGAACAGACGAGGAGCUUGCUCCUCUGACGUUAGCGGCGGACGGGUGAGUAACACGUGGAUAACCUACCUAUAAGACUGGGAUAACUUCGGGAAACCGGAGCUAAUACCGGAUAAUAUAUUGAACCGCAUGGUUCAAUAGUGAAAGACGGUUUUGCUGUCACUUAUAGAUGGAUCCGCGCCGCAUUAGCUAGUUGGUAAGGUAACGGCUUACCAAGGCAACGAUGCGUAGCCGACCUGAGAGGGGGAUCGGCCACACUGGAGCGUAGACACGGUCCAGACUCCUACGGGAGGCAGCAGAAGGGAAUCUUCCGCAAUGGGCGGAAGCCUGGCGGAGCAACGCCGCGUGAGUGAUGAAAGUCUUCGGAUCGUAAAACUCUGUUAUUAGGGAAGAACAAAUGUGUAAGUAACUAUGCACGUCUUGACGGUACCUAAUCAGAAAGCCACGGCUAACUACGUG
rnacentral:rRNA from 1 species